rnacentral:pre_miRNA from 1 species
UUAGUACUCCCUCCGUCCCAAAAUUCUUGUCUUAGAUUUGUCUAGAUAUGGAUGUAUCUAAUACUAAAAUGUGACUUGAUACAUCCGUAUUUAGACAAAUUUAAGACAAGAAUUUCGGGACGGAGGGAGUACUUC